rnacentral:misc_RNA from 1 species
UGGCAAGCGCGGUGGCAGCGAUCCUCGACGACCCCGCACCGCAUAUCGGACAGAUCUACGAUCUGACCGGGCCGGAAUCUGCCGAUCUGGACUAUUAUGCGCGCAUUUUCUCAGAGGCGCUCGGCAGGCCCAUCCGAUAUCGCGAUGUCCCGCUCCCGGCGUGGAGCGAGGGUCUUCGGCAGGCGCGGUUUCCUGAGCACGUCGUCAGCCAUCUUUCGGCGAUGGUCGAGUUGACCCGGCAGGGACGUUA